rnacentral:rRNA from 1 species
UACAGAGACUGCAAGCGUUUAUUCGGAUUCACUGGGCGUAAAGGGUGCGCAGGCGGUUGGGUGUGUCAGAUGUGAAAUCCCGAGGCUUAACCUCGGAACUGCGUCUGAAACUACUCGACUAGAGUACUGGAGAGGGAAACGGAAUUCACGGUGUAGCAGUGAAAUGCGUAGAUAUCGUGAGGAACACCAGAGGCGAAGGCGGUUUCCUGGACAGUUACUGACGCUCAGGCACGAAAGCAUGGGGAGCAAAAGGG